AUUAAAAAAAAACAAAUUAAGUGAAGUAAAACAUUUUAUUAACUUAAAAAGAAAUCAACCGAGAAUUUGUUAGUAGUGGCGAGCGAAUACAAAACAAAAAUUUGUACUAAAAAAUGUUAAGUAGAAAUCCACAGAAGGUUCUAGUCCUGUAACCAUAGCAUUUUUAGUACAUUCUAUAACAAAAAAUGCAGUUUUGUUAAAGCAAGAGGAUCUACCCUCUGAUUUUCAAAUAUUAAUAACCGAUAGUGAACUAGUACCGUGAGGGAAAGGUGAAAAAGAACUUUUUUAGAGUUAAAAGAUCCUAAAAUUUAAUGUAAACAAUCUGUUGAA
rnacentral:rRNA from 1 species